AUGGGAAUGUUAAAAAAUUCAAAGAUACUCGGGCGGCGCUCAAAAGCUCAUGAAGCUGAGCAAACGGAAUAUCUACAGAGUAAAAUCAACCACAUCAGAACCACGGCUAGCAACAAAAAGGCUGCUAAAGCAUGGAAGACAGUCAACGAAAUCAGCGGAAGGAAAAAGAACACCCGAGGCAAACUGAAGGCCUCAAGCCAGGAACAGCGGCUACAGCUUUGGCAACAACACUUCCAAGACCUACUCGGUAAACCACCUCAAAACUCCAACGAGCAAGUGACGCCAAUAAUUACGGGCGAGCUCAAAAUAAAGAAAGGUCCUUUCACAAUGGAAGAACUCAAGUUGGCAAUCAACCGCAUACAAAAUGGUAAAGCCUGUGGACUCGACGAAAUACCAGCAGAAGUAUGGAAGUUAGAAGAAUUCCAUCACACCCUACUAGACAUGACGAACAGCGUCUAUAAUCAAGACCCUAUUGCGAGGUGGUCUGAAGGCUGCCUACUCCCCUUCCCAAAAAAGGGUAAUCUUGGGAUCACGACGAACUACAGAGGCAUUACGCUAACAGCAAUCGCGGCAAAAACCUACAACCUGAUGCUACUAAACAGAGUACGCCCAGAGAUUGACCCCAUACUGAGGAAGAAUCAAAAUGGUUUUAGAGCAAACAGAUCUACCUCGGGACAGAUACUGACCAUUCGUAGGAUGUUAGAAGGAGUAAAUGCAAAAAACCUUCCAGCAACUCUUCUGUUUGUCGACUUCUCGAAAGCCUUUGACUCCAUCCACCGUGGAAAAAUGGAGGAGAUCCUUACUGCAUAUGGAAUACCAAAGGAACCAGUAGACGCCAUCAUGAUGCUGUAUAAAAACACUAGGUCUAUGGUGCACUCUCCCGAUGGAGACACGGAUUUCUUUGACAUCACCACCGGAGUCCUACAAGGAGACACCUUGGCCCCCUUCCUAUUCAUCAUCUGCCUGGACUAUGUGCUUAGAAAAGCCCUCGACAAUAACCUGGAACUUGGCUUUACACUCACCGAACGAAGAAGUAGGCGACAUCCAGCUCAAAAGAUCACAGACGCUGACUAUGCCGAUGAUAUUGCAAUACUCACAGAUUACCUUGGAAAUGCAACAUCACUCCUUCAUGGCAUUGAAAAGCUAGCUAAAGAAAUCGGACUCUACGUAAAUGCCGUCAAAACAGAAUUCAUAUGCCUGAAUCAAGAUGCAUCGGCAGGUAUAAGCUGUCUGAGUGGCGAAAAGAUCAAACGGGUGGACGAUUUUAAGUACCUGGGCAGUUACAUCGCAUCGACCAAACGUGAUGUCGACAUCAGACUCGGAAAAGAAUGGGGAUCACUCAAAGGAAUGGAUAAAAUCUGGAAAUCGAACCUCCCAGACAAACUCCAGAGGAACUUCUUCAGGGCAACAGUGGAAUCCGUCCUCACAUAUUGCUCUACCACCUGGACCCCAACAUCUAAACUGGAGAAGAAGAUAGAUGGGGCCUACACCCGUAUGCUCCGUGCAGCUCUAAACAGAUCAUGGCGUGACCAUCCGACGAACAAGGAACUCUAUGCCAACAUCCCACCCAUCAGCCAAUCCAUCAGACUACAGAGACUUCGCUUCGCCAGACAUUGCUGGCGGAAUAAGGAAGAACUGGCGGGAAAAGUGCUACUCUGGUCGCCCUCCCAUGGAAGAAGAUCACAAGGCCGCCCCAAGAGAACCUACCCUGAACAACUGGCAGAUGACGUUGGGUGCCACGCCGAAGAACUCCCCGCCCUAAUGAGCGAUAAGAUGGAGUGGAAGAGGAGAGUGUCGAUGCUUAGCCGAGCUAGCUCGACACAGUAA
rnacentral:lncRNA from 1 species